CAAUUAAUGAUUAGGUGGACCAGAAAAUCAGCAGGCUCCGGAUCUUGAAGGGAAGCAGUUUAAUUCCCCUGGCAACUAUUACCUGACAACUCUGCCAUGUUACAAGUGUGAAGCAUCCAAGGGCACGCUGUUUCACAGCUUCACCUUAAGCCCUAAAACAGCCUCUUGUCUGGAGGUUUUGGGACCCUCCCCAGGGUGUUCAGAGACCCAGCUGAUGACCUGUUGGCUCAGACUCUCAAGGAAGACCUUUUUCUAAUCUGCCUAUUGAAAGCCAAACAUGAUGUCUCCGUCACAGAAACCGCCCUCUGCCCAGAACCUUGACUGUCCUGUUUUAAAGCUUGAUGUUUCUAUCACCGAGACCAUCUCUUCUCACCCUGACUCACCAGAGCAUCAGUGUGGAAUUACAAGGCAGCCACCAAUCAAUCACACCGUGUCAAAAGCUGAAUGCAUUUUCUUCUAAGACAAACAGUCUCAGGGAUUCCUGGCUUAAGUCCCCCCAGGUAAGGGAAUUCACCCUGAACAAUCUUUGAGGAACCCAAACUAAGAUUAACCAGUUUUAGUUGGAUAUGACAACUGUGUUCCUCUACUAGCAGUUAUCCCUCAUAAGCUUCUGGAGAUGAGGUGGAUAAUCGGCACGUACAGACCACCAAAAACAACUUAAGGCCACCGACAUUUAGAAGAAAUGGAUCAUGCAUGAGGUGUAAAUAUUGCGUAAAUAUUUAUUCAUCCAAUCUGUAAGCAGAUCUUUCUUGGUAAUGGGAUAAACAUGAUUGUGAGUCGUGUAGUUUUACAAUGUAACUUAGUUUGCCAACUUGACAACUAUUGUUGCAUCUAGUCAACCUGGCACUCUGCCCCCCAACCUGGCAAUUUGACCUUGGUUAUCUAACUUUUUCACAGACUGCCGUUUUGAUGGUCAUGAUGCAACGGUAUGCCAGAUUAAAACAUUCUACACCGUGCAUGUGGGCAUGGACUUUCUUUAUAGAAUUUCUAAAGUUGUGUGUUGAUGACAGCAAGGUUUCUGUAAGACUGGAUUCUAAAAGUGGGAAACCUUUAUUUUCCAUUUCUGCUAGAAAAAAAGCUGCAAAAGAUGACUGAGAAUUGAUUUAGGGUAAAAUUCCCAUUUGAUUAUGAUUGAUUUCUAAAGCUGUGCUUCUUAAUGUUUCUGUAAAAUCAGAUUCUAAAAUGGUGGAAAACAAAAAUGUUACUUUGCUCCUUGGUCUAGGAAAAAGCUGUAUAAGCUGUUUUAACUGUAGGGGAGUAUAUAUGGCUUUCUGAGUAUCUGUUCUGUUACACAUUCUGUAAACACAAACCCUAAUAAAGUUGUUGAACCAUU